GUAACAAUCUAAAAUUUGGAAUUCAAAUGGAAAUACGAAUUCACCAAAGUUUGAAUGAAGUUUAGCUAAAUUCAAACCUUACACGUGCCCCCCACAUGUCACUCUCUCUUCUCUCCCUCACUCUUCCCUGCUCUGUGCCGAACAGAGCUCGCCGGCCACGCGCCGAGCCUCGCCGCGCCCCAGCCCUUCCCCAUCCUUGAUUCUCCCGAAGCCUCUCGGCCCCUCCACGCGGCACCAUCUCCCUGCACGCACGCCGAGAACGGCCGUCGAUGCGCCACGGCGACGAACGCGUCGAGCCGUGCCGUGCGCCAAUUCCCCGCUCGCUUGCGCCCUCUGCCGUGCUCUCCUUCCUUCCUUUUGCUUCGCAAACAAGCCCUCUACCUCCCCUCUACUCCCCUUCCUGCUCCACGCGCCGGACCGAGCUCCCCGCGGUGUCCAGAGCCGCCCGCUGCCCGCCAUUAGCGCCGCCGCCCCUAGGUCACCGCGGAGCUCACCCCUCCGGCCUUCCUCGUGCCCAACAUCACCCGCAGCUAGCUUCCUUGCCUCCCAUUGGUGCUCCUCGACCCGUUCACCAUCGCCCACGGCCACCAGACCGCCGCCGCCACCGCCAACCGCCGCCGCCGGCCGCUGCUCUCCGCGGAGCCGCCCGCUCCGGCCAUCCUAGCUCCAACCGAGGACACCCCUAGGUUCCUAUCAUCCUUCUCUUGCUCAUCCCCUUGAUCCCCCUCGCCUCCGUCGGCCCUAGGCGCCGGAAUCCGGCCACCCACCCCUCCUCUGUUUCCCAACCCCGCCAAGGACCCACGGUGAGAAGAAAUAGAAAUCCAGGGGCCUAGAUGCAAAAGUACGAUAGAUGAACCAUAUCAAGGACGUGAUAUUGGAACCGAACACGAAGACGAAGUUUGGUGGACAUAUCCAGAAGAGGCAAAGAACCAGGAGUACAUGCUUGGACCGGAAUACUCGCCAAGCGAGUGUCAUCUAACAAACACUGACCUAGUGUUAAUUCCAGGCAAGCCCCGGUGCAUGUCCUAGUAUUUUAAAAUUAUGACAUCCAUAUAUGUUGCUAUUACUUAUGCAUUACGUUUUAGGAGUUGAUUUGAAACCUAGUUACAUGAUCCGUAGUUCCUUGAGUUGUACUAGUAUGUAUAGGGCGAUAGCAACGCUAUGCUUAAUAAGUAUCGAUAGAAGUCGAGUGACUGUUUGUCACUCGCGAGAUAUAGGAUGUUUAGAAGACGAGUAAUUUCCAGUUACUCGCGAGAUAUAAGUUAUAUGUAUAGUUAUGUUACAGUAUCUGAGUUAUUGAAAGUGAUAUGGAAUUGUGAGA